rnacentral:rRNA from 1 species
AUUGAACGCUGGCGGCAGGCCUAACACAUGCAAGUCGAGCGGAUGAAGGGAGCUUGCUCCUGGAUUCAGCGGCGGACGGGUGAGUAAUGCCUAGGAAUCUGCCUGGUAGUGGGGGAUAACGUCCGGAAACGGGCGCUAAUACCGCAUACGUCCUGAGGGAGAAAGUGGGGGAUCUUCGGACCUCACGCUAUCAGAUGAGCCUAGGUCGGAUUAGCUAGUUGGUGGGGUAAAGGCCUACCAAGGCGACGAUCCGUAACUGGUCUGAGAGGAUGGUCAGUCACACUGGAACUAGGAACCGGUCCAGACCCCUACGGGAGGCAGGAGGGGGGAAUAUUGGAAAAUGGGCGAAAGCCUGACCCAGCCAUGCCGCGUGUGUGAAGAAGGUCUUCGGUUUGUAAAGCAUUUUAAGUUGGGAGGAAGGGCAGUAAGUUAAUCCCUUGUUUUUUUGACGUUACCAACAGAAUAAGCACCGGCUAACUUCGU